AUUGAACGCUGGCGGAAUGCUUUACACAUGCAAGUCGAACGGUAGAGGGGGCAACCCCUUGAGAGUGGCGAACGGGUGAGUAAUAUAUCGGAACGUGCCCAGUCGUGGGGAUAACGUAGCGAAAGUUACGCUAAUACCGCAUACGAUCUAAGGAUGAAAGCGGGGGACUCGCAAGAGCCUCGCGCGAUUGGAGCGGCCGAUAUCAGAUUAGGUAGUUGGUGGGGUAAAGGCUCACCAAGCCAACGAUCUGUAGCUGGUCUGAGAGGACGACCAGCCACACUGGAACUGAGACACGGUCCAGACUCCUACGGGAGGCAGCAGUGGGGAAUUUUGGACAAUGGACGCAAGUCUGAUCCAGCAAUGCCGCGUGCAGGAUGAAGGCCUUCGGUU
rnacentral:rRNA from 1 species